UCCACUGAGAAAAAUUGUGGACGCCAUUAUCAUAACUAGACCUAUAUCGAGAUAAAAUUGGCAAUUUCUUAUUUUUUCUGUCGAAUUUCUAACUAUCCUAUUUUGGAGAUAAGUUACUUUGGCGCAUCAUAAUGAUCAAAAAGAAAAGAAUAAAUAUUUGCGCUUAGAAGUAAUUGUGAUUUUUAAACAAAGAUGCCAUUUUAAAUUACAACAUUUUACAUGAGUACAUGAGUGCUUAAUAGUGCUCAAAUAAGACAAUUGGCAAAGGCUGUUUGUAGAUGCAGUCGUAAGUUCUAUGUUUGCAAAAUUUCGUCACUAGAUCCGAGUUAUCACCUCAGAUGGCACUUUGCCAAUCGCUGUAACAACUACAAACAAGUGUUGUAUUUAAGAAGAGUGUGCCACUAUUUUUUAUCAGUUGUCUUUAUUGACGACAUUGAGAAUCGCACCAUGGUCUCCUUGGUAAGUCUAACAUUUUUUUUUUACUUUUUAAAUAUAAUGGAAUAGAAGGACAAUUAUUCCAAAAAGUGUAGUCUGGAUCGAUAUAUUUAUUAAAUAAAAAUAGUAACCAUGACACCAGGGUUGAUGAGGUCUCUGCUCUCACAACCCCUACGAGAGAAGAAUAAAAAUAAAGCACAUUCCUUUCAUCAUCCAUCGUUAAUUUUGCAGAAGCUGGUUAUCUUCGCUCUGGUGGUCGCGACAGCGGCAGCUGCUGACUCCGACAAACCUGAAGUAGAAACCCUCACAGAAAAGUCUUUCGUCAGAGAAGAUGGAUAUGAUUUUGUCUACAAGACGAGCGACGGCGUAUCCCGCCAGGAAGAAGGUCAGCUAAUCACCGUGGGUGACCAGCAAGGUAUCGGCAUUAAAGGCUCCUACUCAUACGUGGCUCCUGACGGUCAGGAGUACCAAGUCACCUUCACAGCUGAUGACAAAGGCUUCAAGCCGCAAAUCCGCGUCAUUGCCCCUGGCAGUCAAUGAAAUCUAAAUUAAAUAAUUUUCUGUUAAUAUUUUAUUUUUAUUUUUCUACCGGCUUUUUGAUAAAAAAAUAAUUUUAAAUUUUCAUUUUUAUUUGGACUACCCUAGUAAGUAAAAAGUACUUCAUGAUCCUCUCCUAAACGUAUAACCUGAGUCAAAUUAAACGUUCCAUUGAAGAUUUGUAGAUACUUCACCAAUUCCGAUAACGCCUGUCGUUAUAUUCAUGUAUCCACACACCAAAACACCAGUUGAGAAAAUUGCUAUUACAAUUUUGUUGCGCCAAGUUAUGCAGCAGUCAACAUAAACAUAGACAACGUGUUUAUAUACAUCCAUGUAAUAAUAUACCUAGGUUAUCUCCCUUAUUAAUUGAGGGAAUACAAAGCACGCUACACACGUUAUAUUUUAUGACAGCGAUACAUACACAAACUCACGCCCACAAUCCGUAAUAGAAAUGGCAGAACCAUAAAUAAUCAGUAGAUAACUUGCAGGCACAAUUAAAGUCCUGAGAUGAAUUAUGUUGAGUGAUCUUAUAAGUACUUAAUAGUAAGAUACACGCCGUUUAUCCAGGAAAUUAUUUUUCAACUUUAAAAUGGAAAACGAUCCCAAAUACAAGUAAGAUCACUCUGUUCGAGGUACUUACGAAAAUAAAGCUUUUCUCAAUGGCUUCGUUUCCAUCAAACGGAUUUCACAAACUGUUACAAAGUUGAGACAUGAAUGUGAGAUUCGCCAUCUUUAUACAUUAGGUAUAUAUUGUAGAUUUAUUAUAGUAAGUAUACAUUUCACUUAUUGUUCGAACAAAUGAGGACUCACCUAUGAUGACAAAAUAAUUCAGCAAGCUUUAUCUUUGUGUUAUGAGAAGAUUAUGUUGAAAAAAAGCGGCCCGGAGGGGGUCGAUGGCGUAUUUGCUACCGCGAGCUAAAGGUAAUCAGAGAAAUAAAAUUUUGUGUUUAUUCAUAAAAACCAAGUGCUGUUAUAAUACGAAUAAAAUAAUGCUGAAAACAGACCAAUUUUUUUUUGGUAUCGCGACCCGAAUUUUUCAAAUCAACAAACAAAACUCGACCUUUAUCUGUUCUAUUACUAUUUUUUAUAAUUUCAACGUACGAUGCGAAAGAAUAUUGGUUUGCUUUCAGCUUAUAAUACAACAAGCAAGUCAAACUCUAUUGUAAAUACAAUAUAGCUAAUUAUAAUACAUGUCACGUUCUCACGGGUCUAAAAAUGAUUUUACUGUCUGCGAUUUUCAGGGUUCCGACUCUAAGUGGCAGAAACGGCAUUGCAGGAUUCAUGCCGGAUCACAUUUUGUUUGCUAUUCCUAAUUAUAAUAGUUUUAACCAGCAGUUGGGGCCAACCACAAUGGAACCUACCACUGGCUUUUGUUAUUCUUUUGGUGUCGGAGGAAAACCUAAUACGGAAACGAGGGACUUUAAACUCAACCCUCGAAUAGGCGAAAGGUGAAUACUUCAAUAAGUUUUGGAUUCUAAACCCUUGGAGCGCGAGUUUGAAUUUGCACAAAUUUAUUAUUUUGGUUUGUCUUGAAGACACUGAGAAAAUUCAAGAUUCGAAGUAACAAUUGUGUGGCUGGUCUUAAUAUAACUAGAGUAAUUUAAAUAUAAUAAAGCAAAUGUUUAUCUUCAUAAUUAUCCAUGUAAAGUUGUCUGUGAAUGCGCAA
rnacentral:misc_RNA from 1 species